rnacentral:tRNA from 8 species
GCCCAGGUAGCUCAGUUGGUAGAGCAGGGGACUGAAAAUCCCCGUGUCGGUGGUUCGAUUCCGCCCCUGGGCACCA